rnacentral:rRNA from 1 species
AACGAACGCUGGCGGCGCGCCUAAUACAUGCAAGUCGAGCGAGAAGGUGUAGCAAUACACUUGUAAAGCGGCGAACGGGUGAGGAAUACAUGGGUAAUCUACCAUCGAGUGGGGAAUAACCAACCGAAAGGUUGGCUAAUACCGCGUACGCCUCCGAGUCUUCGGGUUCGGAGGGAAAGCUGCACUGUGAGUGUAGCGCUCUUUGAUGAGCUCAUGUCCUAUCAGCUUGUUGGUAGGGUAACGGCCUACCAAGGCUUUGACGGGUAGCUGGUCUGAGAGGACGAUCAGCCACACUGGCACUGCGACACGGGCCAGACUCCUACGGGAGGCAGCAGUAAGGAAUAUUGCGCAAUGGGCGAAAGCCUGACGCAGCGACGCCGCGUGGGGGAUGAAGGUCUUCGGAUUGUAAACCCCUUUCGGGAGGGAAGAUGGAACGAGCAAUCGUUCGGACGGUACCUCCAGAAGCAGCCACGGCCAACUUCGUGCCAGCAGCCGA